rnacentral:misc_RNA from 1 species
GGAACAUCCUGUUACUUACUAAGAUUAAAAACUAUAUCUUCUAUAUUUAUAUAUAUAUACAGUUGUAAUCUCUGUUUGUCUGUCUGUUUGUUUGUUUGUUUUUCCGAUCAUAACACAGGAACCCUUAAACCGAUUUGCCUCACCGAUUCUAUGAGUUGAGUUGGCCGACUUUAAUAGGGAAAAAUAGUUAAAAUCGUAAUUUACCACCAAGUGCGGGUAAACAGCGGGAGUAAAUAUGAAUAACCUGGGCAAGGCUGGGUUCCCAAAAACUAGGCUGUUGUGAUUACGCAGAAAUGCUCAGGAUUUUCAUAUCUGAAGACACAGGAGUCCAUCGAAAAGUCUAUUGCGUCAGUAAGGGAUCUGGAGGAACCUGAGUUUUCAGCUAGAGACAGAAAUUCUCAGGAUGCCGUGGGUAGGUCCAUAGAUGCUGUACGAGAUCUUGAAGAGCCUGAAUUUUCAGCUAGAGAUAGGAAUACACAGGAGGCCGUCGCAAGGGCCAUAGAUGCUGUACGAGAUCUUGAAGAGUCAGAGUUUUCAGUUAUAGACAGAAAUACACAGGAGGCAGUUGGAAGAUCAAUUGAUUCUGUUCGGGAUUUAACAGAACCUCAGUUUUCAGCUUAACAGUUAGAAAUACAAAGGAGGCAAUUGAAAGAACAAUAGAUGCAGUCAGAACCAGAGUUCUAAAUAACAAGAACUAAAACAUUGAACUAUAUAUUAUCCAUUGUGUAAAUGCAUCUUUAAUAAAAGUUUAAGAUAAAAAAGAAAAGAAAAUCUUUUCUUUUCUUAUCUAACAUCUUUAA